GGGCCCAUAGCUCAGCGGUAGAGCAGCCGGCUCAUAACCGGUCGGUCCCUGGUUCGAAUCCGGGUGGGCCCACCA
rnacentral:tRNA from 1 species